UUUCCUUAUAUCACUAUUAAUUAAUUUCAAGCUUCAUAUUCCAUUGCUACAUGCUCCAUAAUCUCUUCUCCACAUGGAAUUCAUGCAUUCAUCUUGGCCAUCCACGUGUCCUACAUCAUACCUUUGAUCUCUUUCAUUUGAGACAUGAGAACCACAGAGUUUGCUUCAGAUAUUGUUUCAAACCCUAAUUCAAAUGCAUUUUCUGCCACCGAACGAAGCAUUCUUAGUAAGAAAAAAAAGUGACCCUUUAUUUUGUUUAUUGAGAUAGCUAACUCAACUGUGAGAAGAAGAUCAAUU
rnacentral:lncRNA from 1 species